CCUACGGGUGGCAGCAGUGGGGAAUAUUGCACAAUGGGGGGAACCCUGAUGCAGCAACGCCGCGUGGGUGAAGAAGUACUUCGGUAUGUAAAGCCCUGUCAGCAGGGAAGAAAAUGACGGUACCCGACCAAGAAGCCCCGGCUAUCUACGUGCCAGCAGCCGCGGUAAUCCGUAGGGGGCAAGCGUUAUCCGGAUUUACUGGGUGUAAAGGGAGCGUAGACGGCAAGGCAAGUCUGGAGUGAAAGCCCGUGGCUCAACCACGGGACUGCUUUGGAAACUGUGUUGCUGGAGUGCAGGAGGGGUAAGCGGAAUUCCUAGUGGAGCGGUGAAAUGCGUAGAUAUUAGGAGGAACACCGGUGGCGAAGGCGGCUUACUGGACUGUAACUGACGUUGAGGCUCGAAGGCGUGGGGAGCAAACAGGAUUAGAUACCCUUGUAGUC
rnacentral:rRNA from 1 species